AUGGGUGCCCCGACGUUGCCCCCUGCCUGGCAGCCCUUUCUCAAGGACCACCGCAUCUCUACAUUCAAGAACUGGCCCUUCUUGGAGGGCUGCGCCUGCACCCCGGAGCGGAUGGCCGAGGCUGGCUUCAUCCACUGCCCCACUGAGAACGAGCCAGACUUGGCCCAGUGUUUCUUCUGCUUCAAGGAGCUGGAAGGCUGGGAGCCAGAUGACGACCCCAUGGUCUUACUCUGUCACCCAGGCUGAGUGCAGUGGUGUGAUCUUGGCUCACCUCAGCCUCGACCCCCUGGGCUCAAAUGAUUCUCCCACCUCAGCUUCCCAAGUAGCUGGGACCACAGGCAAAGGAAACCAACAAUAAGAAGAAAGAAUUUGAGGAAACUGCGGAGAAAGUGCGCCGUGCCAUCGAGCAGCUGGCUGCCAUGGAUUGAGGCCUCUGGCCGGAGCUGCCUGGUCCCAGAGUGGCUGCACCACUUCCAGGGUUUAUUCCCUGGUGCCACCAGCCUUCCUGUGGGCCCCUUAGCAAUGUCUUAGGAAAGGAGAUCAACAUUUUCAAAUUAGAUGUUUCAACUGUGCUCUUGUUUUGUCUUGAAAGUGGCACCAGAGGUGCUUCUGCCUGUGCAGCGGGUGCUGCUGGUAACAGUGGC
rnacentral:misc_RNA from 1 species